AAGAGAGGACACGCUGGUGAGCGCUCCCGCCCGCCCGUGGGGCCUCCAGCUCUGGAAAAGCUGCGAGAAAGGCAGAGCGGCAGCGCGUGGGAAGGCCUGCUCUCGGAGUCAACCAUCUAAGGGGGGAGUGCGCCUGGGAACCACAGCCCGCAGCGCAGCGCUGGAGGAAGGUGGAGCUGAAGGUCUGGGACGAGCCCGGGUGGACAGGCAGGGUUGAUAGGCAGUCCUGUCUACAGAGGAACAAGGCCCACGGGAAAGGUGGGGCUCUGCCUACGCUGGGAGCAAAGGCAGGAGCCCCAGGUGCAGUCCCAGAGAGAAGUAAGAGGACAGCUGGGUUCCAUCCUGUGGUCCUCGGCUAGGAAGCAACCCAGGACACCCGCCCGGACCUGCCCGCCACCAGGCGAACUUCCGGGACAGGGAGAAGCCUACAGCUGCGCGCUGACUAAGCCUUGGCAGAUGGCCCUCCGGUUCUCUGGCUGCCUGGUUUUGGGGCCCAGGGAGAGUGACCCCGACACAGGAGCGGCAGUCACCUUCGGCACCACACUCACCCCAUCCAGGAGCGGAUUCUUGCUCGCGGUGAGUACUCCUUGGCUUUACCUCCGAACCGGACCAACGAGGGACCGCAAGGGCACUCCCUAGAAAGCCCC